UAGUUCUUUCUUCAAAAGGUAGAUUUAGCUGAUUGAAAGCUAUCAAUUCUCCUGCCAAAUCAUCACCACACCAUUUCAACUCUAUCAGGACAAAUAUUCUUCAUUCACUCAAGCUAUAUAGAAAGGCAUUGUAUUCUAUUCCUUUUUCUUAUUUCUGCUUGUUUAUAUUUCAUCAGGAAACAUAACUUUCCCCUGUUUUCUUUAACAUUUCUCUAAUUGUUCCAAAUCUAAAAUCUUCAUUAUCAUAUACCACAACUUAUUCUUUUUCUCUUUGUAGGAAAGUGUCUUUUGGCUCUUUAAGGGGAUGUAAAAGGGCAAUAAAUUCAGUGGAUAUACACACAGAAAAUAAGUUUUCAAAUACAUAUUUCCUAUGAAUCUUUGUUUUCCAUAGAGAUUCCUCCUUAGUGUCACAACAGAGCCACAUUUUCCCAGAGCAGAAAAUCACAUCAGGAAUCCUCUGAUAAUGUUAUGAAGAUGCUUGUAUGUUUUAUAAACCAGACAACAAUUAUGCCGAGGAGUGGAUUUGCAGCCUGAGUCCUCCUGCUCCUUUUGGUGUAAAUUUGAUGAAAGGUUAACCUUAGGCAGGAGAGAAGGCAGAAAACCACACUAAGCACUUCUUAGCAGGCAGGGCAGAAAGAACACGGACAACAUUAGGAGCUCUUCUCAUCUGUGCCUAGCGAUGGGUGACAUAUGACACACCUGUUGAAUCUUUUGGGAACUGGAAGAAUGAAAAGUGGAUAACGUGAUGAUCAGGUGUUCAAGAGAGUGUUCAAGAGAGUUUCAGAUGUAAUCCAGGACACGCAUCAAUGCACUAGCUCCACAAAGAAUGAGUAAGAAGAUAUCAUUUGGCUGAAAGAAUGAAGAAAAAAAAUAGGUGGACUCUAUGGCGUAGGUGACUGCAAAUGGAAUACCUUUCACCUCUAAUUGACUGACUGAAAUGGAGGCAGUCUCCAUAGAGACUGAAAUUCCUCCGUGAGAGAUGGCAGUUCCGCAGGGAGGCUGGAGAUGGAGGGCUGUGUCUCCAUCGCUAAGAGCUAGGGAGCAUGACAUCAGGACUGGAUUCACUGGUUUCCAUAGCUAAUCUGAGCUCUUAUCAGCCCUCUAUAUUUUAAAAUACAGUGCUCUUUAAGAGGAUUCAAUUUAAAGAAUUAUAACUUGUUUAUGUUAAUACAUUGAGGCUUGGGGAAAUUUUUGAAUCAACCUAGUUCUUAAACUACUGCUCACACUAUUAAGCUUCAUGUCAUAUCCAUCAAUAUAUAUCGGAUUUUGCUCCUUCUGUAUGAUUCUGCUCUGAAAUCCUGUGAUUAUAUUGUCACAAAUAGGUGUUAUGAUUUAAGGAUUCAUGAAUUGUGCCUCUCAGAGAUAGGUUGAAAUUUAAUAAUAAAAUAAAACAUUUUACUAAAAAAAUAAAGUAGAAAAGGAUGCCUUCCAUUAACCCCUAAACCAUCCUUUUGCUUGUGUCCUCCACCCCACGUUCUUCUGUUUCUUCAGUGACCUCACUGGCUGCUUCUCAGCUUCAAAUAUUUCUUCUCUUGAAUUCUCUUGCCCUAUAUGGCAUCUAAGUGUUGGGCCUCCUCAGAAUUAUAUUCAGGCCCUUAUCAUAUCUGCAGUGAAAGGCCUCCUAAACUGUUGGUCCCCUGUCUUCAAACUCCCAUCCAGGUCUCUCCACUCUUCAACUCUGAGGAAAGGAUUUUUUUAAAACAUAAAUGGGAUCAUGUUACUUCUCUGCUUAAAUCCCUUUCAUGGCUUUCUCUUACAGAAACAAUAAAACUCAAAACUCUUUGCAGGGCUCUGCAUUCAGUGUUCCUUAUAAUUGCCUGUCUCUCUUCUUUUCAUUCAAUAUACUGCAGCCAUGUUUUUGCUCAUUUCUCAAAGAUGCUAAAUCUGUAUCGUCUACUUCUAGCAUUCUUUACACAACUUUUCAGAUGACUAGUUCUCUUUCUCUCCCUUUGUUCUCAUUUUAUACACAAUUGAUUCAAAGACGUUUUUCCUGAUAAUCAAUUUAAAAUAUCCCCAAAUCUUAUUCCCAAUAUUAAUCCUUAUGAUACCCCCUUCAAAAACAUACUAGAAUCUGGGGCCGGCUCCGUGGCCGAGUGGUUAAGUUCGCGGGCUCCGCUGCAGCAGCCCAGGGUUCAGAUCCUAGGCACGGACAUGGCACCGCUCGUCAGGCCACGUUGAGGCGCCAUCCCACAUCCCACAAGUAGAAGGACCUGCAACUAAGAUAUA
rnacentral:lncRNA from 1 species